GACGAACGCUGGCGGCGUGCCUAAUACAUGCAAGUCGAGCGAAUCAAUAGGAGCUUGCUCCUGUUGGUUAGCGGCGGACGGGUGAGUAACACGUGGGCAACCUGCCUGUAAGACUGGGAUAACACCGGGAAACCGGUGCUAAUACCGGAUAAUCCUUUUCCUCUCAUGAGGAAAAGCUGAAAGUCGGUUUCGGCUGACACUUACAGAUGGGCCCGCGGCGCAUUAGCUAGUUGGUGAGGUAACGGCUCACCAAGGCGACGAUGCGUAGCCGACCUGAGAGGGUGAGCGGCCACACUGGGACUGAGACACGGCCCAGACUCCUACGGGAGGCAGCAGUAGGGAAUCUUCCACAAUGGACGAAAGUCUGAUGGAGCAACGCCGCGUGAGCGAUGAAGGCCUUCGGGUCGUAAAGCUCUGUUGUUAGGGAAGAACAAGUACAAGAGUAACUGCUUGUACCUUGACGGUACCUAACCAGAAAGCCACGGCUAACUACGUGCCAGCCGCCGCAGUAACAC
rnacentral:rRNA from 1 species